rnacentral:rRNA from 1 species
UACGGAGGGUGCAAGCGUUAUCCGGAUUCACUGGGUUUAAAGGGUGCGUAGGUGGGCAGGUAAGUCAGUGGUGAAAUCUCCGGGCUUAACUCGGAAACUGCCGUUGAUACUAUCUGUCUUGAAUAUCGUGGAGGUUAGCGGAAUAUGUCAUGUAGCGGUGAAAUGCUUAGAUAUGACAUAGAACACCAAUUGCGAAGGCAGCUUACUACAUAGUUAUUGACACUGAGGCACGAAAGCGUGGGGAUCAAACAGG